UGCCAUGAAUGAUGAGAUUAACAAUUUUACAGUUAUCCCUGUCUGAUAACCUAAUGCUGAAAUUGUAUAUGCUCUGACAUGCUA